AGUGAACGCUGGCGGCAGGCCUAACACAUGCAAGUCGAACGGCAGCACAAGAGAGCUUGCUCUCUGGGCGGCGAGUGGCGGACGGGUGAGGAAUGCAUCGGAAUCUGCCCAUUUGUGGGGGAUAACCUCGGGAAACCGGGACUAAUACCGCAUACGACCUACGGGUGAAAGCAGGGGAUCUUCGGACCUUGCGCAGAUGGAUGAGCCGAUGCCGGAUUAGCUAGUUGGAGGGGUAAAGGCCCACCAAGGCGACGAUCCGUAGCUGGUCUGAGAGGAUGAUCAGCCACACUGGGACUGAGACACGGCCCAGACUCCUACGGGAGGCAGCAGUGGGGAAUAUUGGACAAAGGGCGCAAGCCUGAUCCAGCCAUGCCGCGUGUGUGAAGAAGGCCUUCGGGUUGUAAAGCACUUUUGUUGGGAAAGAAAAGCAGCCGGUUAAUACCCGGUUGUCAUGACGGUACCCAAAGAAUAAGCACCGGCUAACUUCGUG
rnacentral:rRNA from 1 species